UACGUAGGGGGCAAGCGUGUCCGGAUUUAUUGGGCGUAAAGAGCGUGUAGGCGGUUUGGUAGGUCCGCUGUGAAAACUCGAGGCUCAACCUCGAGACGCCGGUGGAAACCAUCAGGCUAGAGUCCGGAAGAGGAGAGUGGAAUUCCUGGUGUAGCGGUGAAAUGCGCAGAUAUCAGGAAGAACACCCGUGGCUAAGGCGGCUCUCUAGUACGGUACUGACGCUGAGACGCGAAAGCGUGGGGAGCGAACAGG
rnacentral:rRNA from 1 species